GUGGCCAUUGCCCGAACUUGUUCUUACGGCUGCUGUCUUGGGAGCGCAAUCCUGCUUGCCAGAAGAGCUGUGGCUGAAUUGGCAAAGAGUAGGCCCACCUAAACAGCAUGUCAAAUAUAAGGACAUUGGCUGAUUACAAGCCACAAGAGACACAAGCCAGCCAAGCAACCAACCCAACUCCCACAGGGGCACAGGGCAGGAUUGUAAACAGAGCAGUAUUUCAAGGCAACACGGUUGGAAAAGGCAUCU